GUGUGUCUCCUCUGAGCUACAUCAUGUGGACUGUGCGUGUUGCCGGACUGAUCCUCAUGGUUGUCAUCACCGUUCUUGUCAUCAGAAACAAAAGGAACACAAAACCACUUGAAAAUGACAAUAAUGUGAAUGAUGGCGCCGACGUCCAGUAUGAAAACGUGGAAGCACGUCCUGCUGCUGCUCGACCGCAGUGAUCGACAACUUCAGAUCAUCAGAAAGUCAAAUACCAUCAGUCAUUGGACACAUGUGAUCAAAGCUUUCAGUGGAAAUGAUUGGUUUAU